CUACGGGAGGCAGCAGUGGGGAAUAUUGCACAAUGGGCGGAAGCCUGAUGCAGCGACGCCGCGUGAGGGAUGACGGCCUUCGGGUUGUAAACCUCUUUCAGCAGGGACGAAGCGUAAGUGACGGUACCUGCAGAAGAAGCACCGGCUAACUACGUGCCAGCAGCCGCGGUAAUACGUAGGGUGCGAGCGUUGUCCGGAAUUACUGGGCGUAAAGAGCUCGUAGGCGGUUUGUCACGUCGUCUGUGAAAUCCUAGGGCUUAACCCUGGACGUGCAGGCGAUACGGGCUGACUUGAGUACUACAGGGGAGACUGGAAUUUCUGGUGUAGCGGUGGAAUGCACAGAUAUCAGGAAGAACACCGAUGGCGAAGGCAGGUCUCUGGGUAGUAACUGACGCUGAGGAGCGAAAGCAUGGGUAGCGAACAGGAUUAGAUACCCUGGUAGUCCAUGCCGUAAACGGUGGGCGCUAGGUGUGGGGUUCCUUCCACGGGCUCCGCGCCGUAGCUAACGCAUUAAGCGCCCCGCCUGGGGAGUACGGCCGCAAGGCUAAAACUCAAAGAAAUUGACGGGGGCCCGCACAAGCGGCGGAGCAUGUGGAUUAAUUCGAUGCAACGCGAAGAACCUUACCUGGGCUUGACAUAUAGAGGAUCGCUACAGAGAUGUGGUUUCCCUUGUGGCUUCUAUACAGGUGGUGCAUGGUUGUCGUCAGCUCGUGUCGUGAGAUGUUGGGUUAAGU
rnacentral:rRNA from 1 species